rnacentral:rRNA from 1 species
CCUACGGGUGGCAGCAGUGAGGAAUAUUGGUCAAUGGACGCGAGUCUGAACCAGCCAAGUAGCGUGAAGGAUGACUGCCCUAUGGGUUGUAAACUUCUUUUAUAUAGGAAUAAAAUGUUCCACGUGUGGGUUUUUGUAUGUACCAUAUGAAUAAGGAUCGGCUAACUCCGUGCCAGCAGCCGCGGUAAUACGGAGGAUCCGAGCGUUAUCCGGAUUUAUUGGGUUUAAAGGGAGCGUAGGUGGAUUGUUAAGUCAGUUGUGAAAGUUUGCGGCUCAACCGUAAAAUUGCAGUUGAAACUGGCAGUCUUGAGUACAGUAGAGGUGGGCGGAAUUCGUGGUGUAGCGGUGAAAUGCUUAGAUAUCACGAAGAACUCCGAUUGCGAAGGCAGCUCACUGGACUGCAACUGACACUGAUGCUCGAAAGUGUGGGUAUCAAACAGGAUUAGAUACCCCUGUAGUC